rnacentral:rRNA from 1 species
AACAGCCGCGGUAAUUCCAGCUCCAAUAGCGUAUAUUAAAGUUGUUGCAGUUAAAAAGCUCGUAGUUGAAUUUUGGGUUUGGCCAAUUGGUCCGUUCUUGUAACGAGUACUGGUUGGUUGGGCCUCACCGCCUGGUGAUGCGUAAUGUCCUUUAUUGGGUGUUGCGAGUAGCCAGGACCUUUACCUUGAAAAAAUUAGAGUGUUUAAAGCAGGCUUAUGCCGGAAUACAUUAGCAUGGAAUAAUAGAAUAGGACGAUGAUUCUAUUUUGUUGGUUUCUAGGAGCAUCGUAAUGAUUAAUAGGGAUAGUUGGGGGCAUUAGUAUUCAAUUGUCAGAGGUGAAAUUCUUGGAUUUAUUGAAGACUAACUACUGCGAAAGCAUUUGCCAAGGAUGUUUUCAUUAAUCAAGAACGAAAGUUAGGGGAUCGAAGACGAUCAGAUACCGUCGUAGUCUUAACCAUAAACUAUGCCGACUAGGGAUCGGGCGAUGUUGUUUCAAUGACUCGCUCGGCACCUUAUG